UCGGCCCACUAGAAUCUGCCCCGGCGCACCGAAGCCCGAUGAUCCCCGGCGUCGUCUUCUCGAACAAAAGGCCGCUCCGGCGACGGCGGCCGCUAGCGGCGGUCAGCACUCUUAAGGUUGGACCCGGCGGGAGCCCCCCUGUUUCGGGAGAGCAAACUCGCAGGAGACAAUGGAGGUGGUGGCGUCGCCGACACCGGCGGAGACGUACGAGCUCGGGUUCAUCGGAGCCGGCAAGAUGGCGGAGUCCAUCGCGAGGGGGUGGUCAAGUCCGGCGUCUUGCCGGCAUCCAGGAUUCGCGCCGCCGCUCACACCAACCCGAGCCGAGGCGCCGCAUUCGAAUCCCUCGGCGUCCCAGUCCUCUCCGAAUGUCAAGCUGUUGCGUAUCCCUUCUCUCUCUCUCUCUCUCUCUCUCUCUCUCUCUCUCUCUCAUGGGAAGCUGUAAAGGAAUGUGAAAUAAUCGGAUCUUCGGACCGCCUGGGGAGAAUGCAGUCGAUGUAAUUAGCGUCAAGUUUCAGUUUUUAUGGAAUAGGCGUGAAAAAGGUGCGAGCUUUGCCUUUGCCAUGACGUAUAUUUGCUGCCCCGCGCUCUGCCUCGGUGUGUUACGAUUACAGGGUUCUAGUUUCGUUAUUGGAACGACAUUGAUAUUCAAUGCUGAACAGCUCAAAAUCUUUAUUAUGAGAAUUCGAUGUCCUAGCUCUGCCUCUGGGUUUUUGCAUUUGCUCACGGCGAAAAAAUUCAGGCUGUUGCUUCAUCCUUUAGUUGCCGGCAUUGGUUUGUGUAAGUUAAUUGGGUGGAAAAUGACAAUUUGCGUGUCUUGUCUGCUCGAGCAACUUCUUGAGCAAAUCCAAUGUCUUGCCCGGGUCUUUCGGACAGCGAAAUCUCUUCUUAUAUUUUAUGUUAAAUUCUUCUCCAUAGAAAGAGAGCAAGCAAGUUGGUUUAGCAGUUGUACAGCUUGCGGUUCAGUAGACCUACUACUAUUAUUUUUCUUCUUGUUUGUGGAUGUGAGAAAUGAGUGGAUGAACGACUGCUAGUUGUUCUACCUCCUGGGGUUUCUUGACGAUUUUAAUCUUGAGUCGCUUGUUCCCCUUAUCAUAAAGAAACUCAAAUUUUAUGAAAGCAGGUAGUUGAAGAUGGUGAUGUGGUCAUCUUCUCAGUGAAACCCCAAGUUGUUAAAGGUGUUGUCUCUCAGUUGAGGCCACUACUAUCAAAGAAGCAGCUUUUGGUCUCAGUAUUUGCCAGAGUAAAAUUGAAGGAUUUGUUGGAUUGGGCUGGCCAUGAUUGAUUUAUCCAUGUGAUGCCGAAUACUCCUGCUGCUGCUGUUAUGAGUCGGGGAGGAGCAGUGAAAGAAGAGGAUGCAGAACUCAUUGCUAUUUUAAUCGGAUCUAUAGGCAAGAUGUGGAAAGCUGAUGAAAAAUAUUUCAAUGCAAUUACUGGCCUGAGUGGCCCAGCAUGUGUAUAUCUUUCUAGCAAUAGAACCUCUGGCUGAUGGAGGAGUUGCUGCAGGUCUUCCAAGAGAUCUUGCGUUAGGUCUAGCUUCUCAAACGGUGUCGGGUGCAGCAUCUAUGGCCUCUAAAAUGGGCAAGCAUCCCGGUCAGCUCAAGGAAGAUGUUGCAUCACCCGGGGGUACUACAAUUGCUGGUAUUCAUGAACUGGAAAAGGGUGGAUUUCGGGGGAUUUUGAUGAAUGCAGUCAUUGUUGCUGCUAAGCGUGGCAGUGAACUUCCCCCCUUCCUAAUUCUGACUUCAACUUUUCAGUCCACAUCGUAUUCAUCAUUUUAGAGAAAAUAGCUCGAAAGGGUGAGCUUGGUUGUUCCUCUGAUUUUGACUUGAAUAGCAGUUUUACCUUAGGCUGGGCUGCUCUAAGGGUUCAUUUUUCAGCUGUUAAAAUCUAUUUAGUCGCAUUGCAAUCCUUCUGCUUGGUUUUUGUCUACAAGAAAGGGCGAUUACACUUUUUGGUGCA